GCAUCCGUAGCUCAACUGGAUAGAGUACUCGGCUACGAACCGAGCGGUCGGAGGUUCGAAUCCUCCCGGAUGCACCA
rnacentral:tRNA from 5 species